GACGAACGCUGGCGGCGUGCCUAAUACAUGCAAGUUGAGCGCUGAAGGUUGGUACUUGUACCAACUGGAUGAGCAGCGAACGGGUGAGUAACGCGUGGGGAAUCUGCCUUUGAGCGGGGGACAACAUUUGGAAACGAAUGCUAAUACCGCAUAAAAACUUUAAACACAAGUUUUAAGUUUGAAAGAUGCAAUUGCAUCACUCAAAGAUGAUCCCGCGUUGUAUUAGCUAGUUGGUGAGGUAAAGGCUCACCAAGGCGAUGAUACAUAGCCGACCUGAGAGGGUGAUCGGCCACAUUGGGACUGAGACACGGCCCAAACUCCUACGGGAGGCAGCAGUAGGGAAUCUUCGGCAAUGGACGAAAGUCUGACCGAGCAACGCCGCGUGAGUGAAGAAGGUUUUCGGAUCGUAAAACUCUGUUGGUAGAGAAGAACGUUGGUGAGAGUGGAAAGCUCAUCAAGUGACGGUAACUACCCAGAAAGGGGCGGCUAACUACGUG
rnacentral:rRNA from 1 species